rnacentral:rRNA from 1 species
AUUGAACGCUGGCGGCAGGCCUAACACAUGCAAGUCGAACGAGUGGCGGACGGGUGAGUAAUGUCUGGGAAACCGCCCGAUGGAGGGGGAUAACUCCUGGAAACGGUAGCUAAUACCGCAUACCAUCGGAGGCGCCCAGAUGGGAUUCGCCAGUAGGCGGGGUAAUGGCUCACCUAGGCGACGACCACGAGCUGGUAGGAGAGGAUGAACAGCCACACGGGAACUGAAACACGGUCCAGACUCCUACGGGAGGCAGCAGUGGGGAAUAUUGCACAAUGGGCGCAAGCCUGAUGCAGCCAUGCCGCGUGUAGGAAGAAGGCCUUCGGGUUGUAAAGUACUUGCAGCGAGGAGGCGUUACUCGCAGAAGAAGCACCGGCUAACUCCGUGCCAGCAGCCGCGGUAAUUC